GGGGCUGACGUGGUUUUGACAGCAAGUAGAAUGGGUUUGUAAGCAUGCCGAGCGUCGUGAGGCCGGCUCGUUAAUCCCGGGCACAAACCAAUAAACGGCGAAACUAACUACGCUCUCGCUGCCUAAUAACUCCAGGAGUUAAGGCUUAAUCCCUACGCCAAGGAUGCGUGGGGACGAGAUGUCCCGCCGGGAAUUACGCCCUGUUGUUUCCGGCAUAUGGGGCACCGAUCAAACGGGGAUAGUCGGGGCGACACCUUUAAACCCCGAUGAAACAAACAAAGGUUAAGGAUUGGUUCGGUUGCCUUUCACCUGGCCAUUCCCGACAA
rnacentral:tmRNA from 1 species